CCCGCUGAGUUUAAGCAUAUCCAUAAGCGGAGGAAAAGAAACUAACAAGGAUUCCCUUAGUAACGGCGAGUGAACCGGGAAGAGCCCAGCUUGAAAAUCAGACGUGUUCGGCGUUCGAAUUGUAGUCUGGAGAAGCGUCCUCAGCGACGGACCGGGCCCAAGUUCCCUGAAAAGGGGCGCCAGAGAGGGUGAGAGCCUCGUCAUGCCCAGACCUUUUCGCACCAGGAGGCGUUGUCUACGAGUCAGGUUGUUUGGGAAUGCAGCCCCAAUCGGGCGUAAAUUCCGCCCAAGGCUAAAGAUGGGCGAGAGACCAAUAGCGAACAAGUACCGUGACGUAAAGAUGAAAAGGACUUUAAAAAGAGAGUCAAAGAGUGCUUGAAAUUGUCGGGAGGGAAGCGGAUGGGGGCCGGCGAUGCGUCCUGGUCGGAUGCGGAACGGGGCAAUCUAGUCCGCCGAUCGAUUCGGGGUGUGGACCGAUGCGGAUUAAGGUGGUGACCUAAGCUCGGGCUUUUGUUACGCCCGCGGAGACGUCGCUGCCUUAAUCGUGGUCUGCAGCACGCGCCUCACGGCGUGCCUCGGCAUCUGCGUGCUCAGGGCGUCGGCCUGUGGGCUCCCCAUUCGACCCGUCUGAGAGUCAAAGAGUGCUUGAAAUGUCGGAGGGAAUCAGAUGGGGGCCAGCGAUUCGUCCCGGUCCGAUGCAGAACGGAGCAAUCCGGCCCGCCGAUCGAUUCGGGGCGUGGAUCAACGCGGUAUAAAGUCGUGACCUAAGCAUGGGCUUUUGUUACGCUCGCGGAGACAUCGCUGCCUUAAUCGUGGUCUGCAGCACGCGCCUCACAGCGUGCCUUGGCAUCUGCGUGCUCGGGGCGUCGGCCUGUGGGCUCCCCAUUCGACCCGUCUUGAAACACGGACCAAGGAGUCUAACAUGUGUGCGAGUCAACGGGUGAGUAAACCCGUAAGGCGCAAGGAAGCUGAUUGGCUGGAUCCCUCAUGGAUGCACAGCCGACCGACCUUGAUCUUUUGAGAAGGGUUCGAGUGUGAGCAUGCUUGUCGGGACCCAAAAGAUGGUGAACUAUGCCUGAGCAGGGUGAAGCCAGAGGAAACUCUGGUGGAGGCCCGCAGCGAUACUGACAUGCAAAUCGUUCGUCUGACUUGGGUAUAGGGGCGAAAGACUAAUCGAACCAUCUAGUAGCUGGUUCCCUCCAAAGUUUCUCUCAGGAUAGCUGGAGCUCGGAAACGAGUUCUAUCGGGUAAAGCCAAUGAUUAGAGGCAUCGGGGAUGCAAUGUCCUCGACCUAUUCUCAAACUUUAAAUCGGUAGGACGGGGUGGCUGCUUUAUUGAGCCAUCCCACGGAAUCGAGAGCUCCAAGUGGGCCAUUUUUGGUAAGCAGAACUGGCGAUGCGGGAUGAACCAAAAGCCGAGUUAUGGUGCCCAACUGCGCGCUAACCUAGAACCCACAAAGGGUGUUGGUCGAUUAAGACAGCAGGACGGUGGUCAUGGAAGUUGAAAUCCACAAAGGAAUGUAUAACAACUCACCUGCCAAAUCAACUAGCCCCGAAAAUGGAUGGUGCUGAAGCGCGCGACCUAUACCCGGCCGUCGGGGCAAGAGCCAGGCCUUGGUGAGUAGGAGGACGCGGCGGUCGCUGCAAAACCUAGGGUGCAAGCCCGGGCGGAGCGGUCGUCGGUGCAGAUCUUGGUGGUAGUAACAAAUAUUCAAAUGAGAACUUUGAAGACCGAAGAGGGGAAAGGUUCCAUGUGAACGGCACUUGCACAUGGGUUACUCGAUCCUAAGAGUCGGGGGAAACCCAUCUGAUAGCGCUUAUGCGCAAACUUCGAAAGGGAAUCCGGUUAAAAUUCUGGAACCGGGACGUGGCGGUUGACGGCAACGUUAGGGAGUUCGGAGACGUCGGCGGGAAUUCCAGAAAGAGUUAUCUUUUCUGUUUAACAGCCUGCCCACCCUGGAAAUGGCUCAGCCGGAGGUAGGGUCCAGCAACUGGAAGAGCACCGCACGUCGCGUGGUGUCCGGUGCAUUCCCAGCGGCCCUUGAAAAUCCGGAAGACUGAGUGCCGCUCACGCCCGGUCGGCAAAAUGGAUC
rfam:Brassica napus, WGS project CCCW01000000 data, contig: 25726